rnacentral:rRNA from 1 species
GACGAACGCUGGCGGCGUGCUUAACACAUGCAAGUCGAACGGAAAGGCCCUGCGUUUGUUGCUUUCUCGUUUGGCGAACGGGUGAGUAACACGCGUGGAACCUGCCCUUGACUUUGUGAUAUCUUUACGGAACUGGGGCGAUUACCCGGUAUGAGCUCCUGCUGCAUGUGGGUGGUUGGAAAGAUUCGGUGGUGGGGGCUGGACUCGCUGCUUAUCAGCUUGUUUGUGGGGUAGGUGCUUUCGAGGGCUUUGACGGGUAGGCGGCCUGAGAGGGGGACCGGCCACAAUGGGCCUGAGAUACGCACCAGAAUGGUACGGGAGGCAGCGGUGGGGAAUCUUGCACAAUGGGCGGACGCCUGAUGCGGAAACGCCGCGUGCGGGAUGACGGCCUUCGGGUUGUAAACCGCUUUCGCAUGUGACGAAGCGUGCGUGACGGUAAUGGGUCAAGAAGCCACGGCUAACUACGUG